rnacentral:rRNA from 1 species
UGGGGAAUUUUGGACAAUGGGGGAAACCCUGAUCCAGCCAUCCCGCGUGUGCGAUGAAGGCCUUCGGGUUGUAAAGCACUUUUGGCAGGAAAGAAACGUCAUGGGUUAAUACCCCGUGAAACUGACGGUACCUGCAGAAUAAGCACCGGCUAACUACGUGCCAGCAGCCGCGGUAAUACGUAGGGUGCAAGCGUUAAUCGGAAUUACUGGGCGUAAAGCGUGCGCAGGCGGUUCGGAAAGAAAGAUGUGAAAUCCCAGAGCUCAACUUUGGAACUGCAUUUUUAACUACCGGGCUAGAGGGUGUCAGAGGGAGGUGGAAUUCCGCGUGUAGCAGUGAAAUGCGUAGAUAUGCGGAGGAACACCGAUGGCGAAGGCAGCCUCCUGGGAUAACACUGACGCUCAUGCACGAAAGCGUGGGGAGCAAACAGG